CUAAGGAAAACGGAAGCCAUUGAGUUUGUCUUGUUUAGUUUUGAGAGGUCUUGUGGGGCCUUAGCUCAGCUGGGAGAGCGCCUGCUUUGCACGCAGGAGGUCAGCGGUUCGAUCCCGCUAGGCUCCAUUAGGAUAGAAUCCUACUAAACUUAAUAAAGAAGUUAAGUUGAAUACGAGACUAACUAUCCUAAAUUUAGCACAUUGAAAAUUGAAUAACGAUAUCAAAUAGUAACAAGAAAAUAAACCGAAAACGCUGUGAAUAUUAAUGAGUAUAUGACUGAGAGGUCAAAAAUAA
rnacentral:tRNA from 1 species